GGCUGCUUUUCCUGGCAACCCGUGCCAAGUGCACGCAGUACAUGUGAAUUCUCUAGCCCAUUAAGCAUUCGAAUUACCAACAGAAUUAUACCUAUGCCUCCAACAAUCAUAUAAUCCACAGUUCUGAUAAAUGCAUCUCCAUCCUGAUCCUGUCAAACGCAAAAACAUGUUAAUCUGCUGGAAUAUGUCCUAGUGAUUCAAAAAUAAUAAUAAUAAUAUAUAUAAAUACACGCACAAGCAAACUUAUGUCAUCAUAUUAAUGAUCUUGUCAAUAAAAAAUUUCUAGUGAUUCUUUUAUGUGGAAUUUUAUAGUACUGGAACUAUUUAGACGUGGGAUUCUAUAUUAGGUUGUAGAAGAUUUUGAUAUAUCUAGAAACAAAAGCAAAAUUGUAGAAUGUGGUUAGACAAGUAGCUGAGCAUAAAUCAGAAGAAAUUGCAGAUGAUUUGAAAUACAAUGCAAUGGGGUCUAAAAAUAUGUUCAUUCUACUGUAAAAGGCUCGCUAAAUCUCUGUCAACAGACAAUAGGGGCUGGCUGACGUGUUUAAGGUAUUUUGCAAAGCAUAAGAUCCUGAACCAAGAACUUAAAAAUAUACACAUUAUUAAAUGUUGCUGGGACUAUACAGGUCAUACAAA
rnacentral:lncRNA from 1 species